GGAAUCUUCGGCAAUGGGGGCAACCCUGACCGAGCAACGCCGCGUGAGUGAAGAAGGUUUUCGGAUCGUAAAACUCUGUUGUUAGAGAAGAACGUGUGUGAGAGUGGAAAGUUCACACAGUGACGGUAACUUACCAGAAAGGGACGGCUAACUACGUGCCAG
rnacentral:rRNA from 1 species